UUCACUAGAUGACAGCAUAUGAGGUACAUCACUGCCAAUUUUGACAUGCUGGUUUCAACAAAAAAAAAUGGAAAGUAUUGUUUCAAGAGACUAAAUCCUGAGAGGAAGCAACAGAAGGAAAUGUGUUUCAGAGCACCCAUUUUGGACUAUAGCGUAAGAAAAGAGUCGCUAUAUCACCAUUUUGCAAGACCUCAACCUAUUUCCAAGCACAUUUACUUUUUUUCCUUCUUCUUCUUUCUCCCUACUCCCCCUGCCCUGCCCCCCAAAAUCUGCAAUACUUAAUUUGAAACUAUUCAGUUUCAAGCUAAUAUACAUUUACAUCCCCAAAGACUCACAAACUUUUAAAUAGAUCUGAUCAUAGUCAGAAAAAAAGUAAAUAUGAUCUAGCCCCUACCUACUUACACACACACAUUUCCUAUGUAUAGAACACUGACCGUUCUUUAAUUAGGGAAGCCAGCUGGGAUUUGAAUUUUUCUUUGAAGGAAGCACAGAAGUAAUGUUUAGAAAACGUAUGAAAUCCCAUCUUGUCUUUGAGCUGUCACUCAGGCUUUGGGUCUUUUGCCCCAUAUUCUAUUAACCAUUCUUAUUCUGAACCUGUGAUAUCCGAUUCCUCUUUCUGUAAUUUCCGUCUUUUGUUCACAACUCUAUUCUCACAAUAACACUAUUCAGAUAAGGUAUGUCUUUGAGUUGUCAGCUACUACUUCUCUUUUUUUUUUUUUUCUCCUUGUACAGAUACUAUUAGUGCUUUGGGAUUUUGUGAUAAAAGUGUACAAAGCAAGAGCCCUCUGCUAAAUAUUGCAGCUCACUUUUCAGUACUGCAUCAGGCAGCAUUAGAAGGGAGUUUUUACAGUUUACCUUGCAAAUGAUGGAAACCACUCUUUGUUAAACAAAAGAAUGAAGGGAGCCCAGAAAAAGAUAUAUUCAUAGUGCAUUGCUUGUGUGCUAUGGUGUCCUGGCACUGGAGGAAAAAUGUAAGGGGAUUAUUCCUGGAUAAGGCACCUUGCAAAUAUAACAUGUGCGUGUUGUGACACUUUGGCCAUAUGAUCAUCAUUCAGUUCAAAAAGGUAUGCUUUCAAGGUUUAAAAAGUAAAAAGAUCAGAGUAAUGACCUUGAACUGCACAGCAAAAGACACAGCAUAUCUUUAUUAUGUCUCCUCUCAGCAGAGAUUGUAUUUUUUUUAGGUACACACUGCCCAGCAAAAUGGAAAUACGGAUCUCAGCAGUAAUAAAUCCAUACGAAAUCCCA
rnacentral:lncRNA from 1 species